CAGUAGCCGCGGUAAUACGUAGGGUGCGAGCGUUAAUCGGAAUUACUGGGCGUAAAGCGUGCGCAGGCGGUUGUGUAAGACAGGUGUGAAAUCCCCGGGCUUAACCUGGGAACUGCGCUUGUGACUGCACAGCUAGAGUAUGGCAGAGGGGGGUGGAAUUCCACGUGUAGCAGUGAAAUGCGUAGAGAUGUGGAGGAACACCGAUGGCGAAGGCAGCCCCCUGGGCCAAUACUGACGCUCAUGCACGGAAGCGUGGGGAGCAAACAGGAUUAGAUACCCCAGUAGUCCCUGUCUCUUAUAC
rnacentral:rRNA from 1 species